GAUGAACGCUGACAGAAUGCUUAACACAUGCAAGUCAACUUGAAUUUGGGUUUUUAACUUAGAUUUGGGUGGCGGACGGGUGAGUAACGCGUAAAGAACUUGCCUCACAGCUAGGGACAACAUUUAGAAAUGAAUGCUAAUACCUGAUAUUAUGAUUUUAAGGCAUCUUAGAAUUAUGAAAGCUAUAAGCACUGUGAGAGAGCUUUGCGUCCCAUUAGCUAGUUGGAGAGGUAACAGCUCACCAAGGCGAUGAUGGGUAGCCGGCCUGAGAGGGUGAACGGCCACAAGGGGACUGAGACACGGCCCUUACUCCUACGGGAGGCAGCAGUGGGGAAUAUUGGACAAUGGACCGAGAGUCUGAUCCAGCAAUUCUGUGUGCACGAUGAAGUUUUUCGGAAUGUAAAGUGCUUUCAGUUGGAAAGAAAGAAAUGACGGUACCAACAGAAGAAGUGACGGCUAAAUACGUGCCAGCAGCCGCGGUAAUACGUAUGUCACGAGCGUUAUCCGGAUUUAUUGGGCGUAAAGCGCGUCUAGGUGGUUAUGUAAGUCUGAUGUGAAAAUGCACAGCUCAACUCUGUAUUGCGUUGGAAACUGUAUAACUAAAUUACUGGAGAGGUAAGCCCAACUACCCGUGUAGAAGUGAAAAUCCCCACAUACUUGUAAGAAAGCCGGAAGAGAAAACCAUCAUAUUAAGAUUUUAUUGAUGUUUAGGGUGAAGACUUGGGUAGGCAGCAUUUAGCAUCGACCAUACAGAUGAAAGAGGGAAUUGCUUGAUUUUGAUGUACUCCUACGAAGAGUCCGCCCGCCCCGGGGGGGGGGGCGGGGCGGCGGCCAGUCCAAAUUGGCCUCGGUUUUACCAAUUUCGCUUCCGUCCAGACUCCCAUUUCUACCAA
rnacentral:rRNA from 1 species